UACAGAGGUCCCGAGCGUUGUUCGGAUUUAUUGGGCGUAAAGGGUGCGUAGGCGGCGGAGUAAGUCGGGUGUGAAAUCCCGGGGCUCAACCUCGGAAUGGCAUUCAAUACUGCUUCGCUAGAGUACUGGAGAGGAGGCUGGAAUUUACGGUGUAGCAGUGAAAUGCGUAGAUAUCGUAAGGAAGGCCGGUGGCGAAAGCGAGCCUCUGGACAGUUACUGACGCUGAUGCACGAAGGCCAGGGGAGCAAACGGG
rnacentral:rRNA from 1 species